CGCAGUGCGACUGGCGGACAUAACGGGCCGGUGCGCCGACGGAUGCGUACGUGUCGUGUGUUGCCGCGGGUGCCAACUUUAUCGUUUGUGUUUACGAAAAAACUGUGUUUUGCCUUGUGUUUGUGAUACUUUACCUUCCAGGAUCUACAAUAACAGUUUUGUGUUGCUGUGUGGAAUACGUAAAUUUGGAAUCUGCUGUCCAGUCGAUCGCCCCAGGAGCUGACGGCGACCUCCAGCAUCGCUUGCACAAGAUGAGGCCGUAGUGACGUAGCAUGGGCCAGGCGGGCAGCCAGCCGGGCGCCGAGCAGCGCGCGCGCCGCGCACACACCCUGCCGCACGAGCCGCUGCGACACGCGCCCAAGGUAUGCAUCUACACACGACA